rnacentral:rRNA from 1 species
CCUACGGGUGGCAGCAGUGAGGAAUAUUGGUCAAUGGACGAGAGUCUGAACCAGCCAAGUAGCGUGAAGGAUGACUGCCCUAUGGGUUUUAAACUUCUUUUAUAAAGGAAUAAAACUAGUCACGUGUGCCUUUUUGCAUGUACUUUAUGAAUAAGGAUCGGCUAACUCCGUGCCAGCAGCCGCGGUAAUACGGAGGAUCCGAGCGUUAUCCGGAUUUAUUGGGUUUAAAGGGAGCGUAGAUGGGUUGUUAAGUCAGUUGUGAAAGUUUGCGGCUCAACCGUAAAAUUGCAAUUGAUACUGGCAGUCUUGAGUACAGUUGAGGUAGGCGGAAUUCGUGGUGUAGCGGUGAAAUGCGUAGAUAUCACGAAGAACACCGAUUGCGAAGGCAGCUUACUAAACUGUGACUGACAUUGAUGCUCGAAAGUGUGGGUAGCAAACAGGAUUAGAUACCCGUGUAGUC